rnacentral:rRNA from 1 species
UACGGAGGGUGCGAGCGUUGUUCGGAAUUAUUGGGCGUAAAGCGCGUGCAGGCGGUGUGUCAGGUCUGAUGUGAAAGCCCCGGGCUCAACCUGGGAAGUGCAUUGGAAACCGGCAGACUUGAAUACGGGAGAGGGCAGUGGAAUUCCUGGUGUAGGGGUGAAAUCCGCAGAUAUCAGGAAGAACACCGGCGGCGAAGGCGGCUGCCUGGACCGAUAUUGACGCUGAGACGCGAAAGCGUGGGGAGCAAACAGG